rnacentral:rRNA from 1 species
UUACGACCUCGAUGUUGGAUCAGGGUGUCCCAGUGGUGCAGCCGCUACUAAAGGUUCGUUUGUUCAACGAUUAAAACCCUACGUGAUCUGAGUUCAGACCGGAGUAAUCCAGGUCAGUUUCUAUCUAUAGAGGAGUUUUUUCUAGUACGAAAGGACCGAAAAAACAUGGCCUAUACUUCAUGCAAGCCAUAAUUAUUAACUUAUGAUAAAAUCUUAAUAAGUAAUUAAACCAACACUAAACUCAAAAAAAGAGCA